rnacentral:lncRNA from 1 species
UUCGGUCAAUCAAGAUCAUUGGUGGCAUCAGUUUCAUCUUGGUUCACACAUCAUCUGCUCUUGAUGUUGCAAAUGGGACUGUUGUCUGCUUACAUAAAGGUGAAAUAUACGUAACAGCAACUUCAAUAUAAAACUGCCAGAAUAAAGAUCGAUUAUCCUUACAAACCUGAGAAAAGAAGGCUUAACAACAGACACAUAGCAAUAGGAGUUGCACACAGAAUGAAUAGGACAUCACCACAACAUUUUAACAAUCAUAAAAGGAGACUCAUGGUUUGUUUGUUUCUAGGGAACGCAAGUAGUUUAGACCACCUUGAAAGUAGUUGACUAGGGUUUCUUGUUGUGGCAUGCUUUCGUGUAUAAUAGGAAUCUCUUUGAAGUUUUCAGCCCAUUGAUGGAGUGAAGGGAACUUCUCUGGAUCAAGUAGCUUCACAUUUCCUACUUCCUCCAUGGCACUGAGCCAAAGAGUUUUCCAACCCAUCACUAGAUCCAGGUAGCCUAUCUGCUCCCCGCCAAAAAACUUCUUGCCUUCAAUUUGCUUCUCGAUAAAUGCAUACAAUUCUUGUACUGACUCUAUAGUUUUUGCUUUUGCCUCUCCUUCAUCUUGCAUUGCCAUAGCUUGCCAUGAUCCUAUGACACACUGAACAUGAAAAUUAACACAAUCAGAAAGCUAUCAUUUAGUCAUUUGCUAUUCUUGUCUAUGAUAUUUUAUCAGAUGCAUUAACUUGUAUAGCAUGAUUUCUUAACCAUUAAAUUGUUGUCAAUUGCAUUCUUCACACCAAAUUACUUGAAAUGGUUCCAUAUAUUAGAUUGCAGUUGACUGAAGAUCAUGUUUAUGGUCUCAUAAUUUAAGUUAUGAACGUUACUGUCUUAGUACAUAUAUCUGCUAGCUUUUGUACAACAACAUAUCCAGUGUAGUCAUACACAGUGGGGUCUGUGGAGGGUAGUGUGUACGCAGACCUUACCUCUACCUCAUAAGUGACAAAAAACAGUCUAGGAAUUAAUCUGCUAAGUUUUUGUAUGCCUUAUAAUAUGAAGAAUUGGAUUAUGCCAAGAAAGAAAAUCUUACCUUGUCAUCAACAAAUUUUGCCCAGAAACGAGCUGUAGCUCGUUCAUGAGGAUCCUGAGGCAACAAAGAGUAUCCUUUCCAUGUUUCAUCAAUAUAUUCAAGGAUAACAAGUGAUUCAACGACGGGUUUGUCAUCGUGUAGUAGGACAGGG